rnacentral:lncRNA from 1 species
CUUCAAACAGCUGUUCCCUAUCCUGAGCACUACCUACAUGCAGGUGGAGCCUCUACCCUGUUCCACAAGGAACACUUCCUCUUCCUGUACAGCUAUUCAGAGCACACACUGGAUGCUGGAGCAUGUUACUUGCAUGCCUUGUUUGCAUCCCGCUCCUCAAGCCAGCAGCUGGCAUCUGAUGAGCUACCUGUGGCAGGAAGAAACAUGCUGCAAUAAUCAGAGGGCAAAUCUGGAGGACUACAGUUCACCCCUCAGGAGCAGAUGCCCACAUCCCUCACACAUUAACCAUAACACAGGACCUGUGCGUACAAAUGCUCUCAAACCAGUGCUGGCAAACUUCUUCCCUGGCUUUGGAAGCUCACUUCCCUGGAGAUCCUGGCACACUGUGGGCAAGCUGGAAGGAGCACCAAGAUAAUAUCCCCUCUCAGUAGUGCAAAGAAUGAAUGAGAUUUGGAGGAGAAGCCCAAGCUCCUCUCCUCAGCUGCCUCUCUGCCUAAAAACUGGCAGGGUGGAAUUGUCCUGCACAUGUUUCACACCUGAAAACCUGGUUACCAAGCAGCUCUGCUGCCCCAGUGUCACUAUACUCACUAUGUCACAGCACAGUGCCUAGCCCUUCUCCUUCUCUCUCCACUCCAGACCUCAUCAACAUCAGCCCAAGUAGCUGCAGUGCCACAGCAAGAAGCUCCUGGCUGAUGGACUCCUAUGUGAAAGGACCAGAGGUAGCUGAUGGACAGAAGGACCCUCCACCAGCUCUGCCACUGAGUGACUGUCAGAUGAUCCCUGUAACAGCAGUGACAAGAGGAGGCUCAGGAUGUGUCCCCCAGGUUCAGAACAAGGUGGCACUGAGGAUCACCACAUUGCGUUGCAGCAUUGCUCAAACGAGACUCUGGGCUGAGCAGAGCCACAGUGGAGGCACUGGGACACCUGAAUCACCCUUCCCUCAUUGUGAAAUGUCUGUGAUUUGCAUAACAGUAAACCAUUGCCCAACAGUCAUGUUUAGGUUGUUCAGAAUCAUCCUACACACAUGUACAUCAAACUCCCAUGUCAGGGUUGGUCACUGGAGAGCAGAAGACCACAGCCACCAGUGUGCAGGUCUCUCAUGGUUGGUCAAGGAACAUGAUGCUAUCUGUUAAUUCCUGCUCUAUCAGUCCUUGGAAUUACUCAUUUCAACAACUCUGUCUCUCUGAUUCAAUACCCAGGAUGUCCAAGCUGUCUGCCUGCAGAUACACGGCCAAUAAAGAUGUCAUUUAGUUCCUUGCCA